rnacentral:tRNA from 1 species
UACAUUUAUAGUGUAUGAUGCACAAAAAUUUUUGAAGUUUUAAGUAAUAGUUUAAUUCUAUUUAAUGUAA